AUGUAUUUUACAGAAUGAAGUAAGAAGAAAUCAAGAUCUCUAUUCAUUAACAAAUUACACAUAUGCUUCAUUCUAUAUCCAAGUAUAUUAUGAUGCCAAGAAAAUAAUAAAGAAGAUGGAGAAAAAAAGUUACAGAUGUUGAAAGACAAGAAGCCAUCUGAAUGGAAUGUGAAAAUAGUCAACACAGCAGGUCUAGAUUAAUAGCAGGUAAUUGUGACAAGUCCAGUGUGGGUUACUGGUCGUGAAGAAUCCAUUGUUGAAGACAUCCCAGAAGAGAACACUAAGUCUUAUCUUUCAUCUUACCCCUGAACUUCCCCUCCUCUGAAGAGUACAAGAGAAGAUGCUGACACCACGGCCUUACCUAACAAAAUGUCUAAGUUGGUGUGCUUUUAAUAGGCCUCUCUCUCCCAGAUAAUGCCAACAGACACGCUUCUCUAUGAUUAUUGUUAAUUAUGCAUAUAAGGAUUACUGUGAGUAGGAGAACUCUAAAUAAAAGUAACUAUUUGAUGAA